rnacentral:lncRNA from 1 species
GGGGAUUGGAGCAUAAAGUGAGUCAUGCACCUGGGUCUGGGCCUGCCUUCUGCCUCCUCCCAGUUCCCGGCCCCAUUUCCUGAGUCCCCUGAGAAGCCGGCAGGACGGCGGCCCCCGCCUCCCCCUCAGCCUCUUUGCCACCUCCUGGACCACUGUUCCUGCAGUUUCUCAGGGAUUGAACCCGGGUCCUCAGCAGUGAAAGUGCCUAACCACGGGAUCUCCAGGAAAUUCCCAGCCUCUCUUUUAACGGGGCAGUCUAGCAGGGUGAGCAGUGGGGGCUGGAAAACGGAGGGCUCCUUCCAUCCUCAGUCCUGUCUUGCCCUAAAUUGUCAGGUAGACCUGCUCCCUUGAGUCCCCUGGGCCUGAAUCUUCUCCCCUUAUCUCACCCCUGGGGGCCCUGCCCCACCCCUGAG